rnacentral:rRNA from 1 species
AACCUACCUAUAAGACUGGGAUAACUUCGGGAAACCGGAGCUAAUACCGGAUAAUAUAUUGAACCGCAUGGUUCAAUAGUGAAAGACGGUUUUGCUGUCACUUAUAGAUGGAUCCGCGCCGCAUUAGCUAGUUGGUAAGGUAACGGCUUACCAAGGCAACGAUGCGUAGCCGACCUGAGAGGGUGAUCGGCCACACUGGAACUGAGACACGGUCCAGACUCCUACGGGAGGCAGCAGUAGGGAAUCUUCCGCAAUGGGCGAAAGCCUGACGGAGCAACGCCGCGUGAGUGAUGAAGGUCUUCGGAUCGUAAAACUCUGCUAUUAGGGAAGAACAAAUGUGUAAGUAACUAUGCACGUCUUGACGGUACCUAAUCAGAAAGCCACGGCUAACUACGUGCCAGCAGCCGCGGUAAUACGUAGGUGGCAAGCGUUAUCCGGAAUUAUUGGGCGUAAAGCGCGCGUAGGCGGUUUUUUAAGUCUGAUGUGAAAGCCCACGGCUCAACCGUGGAGGGUCAUUGGAAACUGGAAAACUUGAGUGCAGAAGAGGAAAGUGGAAUUCCAUGUGUAGC